rnacentral:rRNA from 1 species
GGGGAUAUUGGGCAUGGGCGCAAGCCUGACCCAGCACGCCGCGUGAAGGAAGAAGGCUUUCGGGUUGUAAACUUCUUUUCUCAGGGACGAAGCAAGUGACGGUACCCCUUGAAAUAAGCCACGGGCUAACUAC